rnacentral:rRNA from 1 species
UGAAAAGUACCCCGAUGAGGGGAGUGAAACAGUACCUGAAACCGGAUGCUUACAAGCUGAGGGAGCUCUUCGGAGUGACCUCGUACCUUUUGUAUAAUGGGUCAACGACUUAGUGUUGCAUGCAAGCUUAAACCGUUAGGUGUAGGCGUAGCGAAAGCGAGUCUGAAUAGGGCGACUGAGUAUGUAGCAUUAGACCCGAAGGCAAGUGAUCUAGGUAUGGGCAGGGUGAAGGUGCAGUAACAUGCACUGGAGGCCCGAACCGUUGCACGUUGAAAAGUGCUCGGAUGACCUGUGCCUAGGGGUGAAAGGCCAAUCAAACUU